ensembl:snRNA U2 U2 spliceosomal RNA
CUUCCUUCUCCUUGCGCUUCCUUUUGGCUAAGAUCAAGUGUAGCGUCUGUUCUUCUCAGUUUAAUAUCUUGAUAUGUUCUCUAUUUGAAUGCAGACAUCAU